GACGAACGCUGGCGGCGUGCUUAACACAUGCCAGUCGAACGGAAAGGCCCUGCUUGCAGGGUACUCGAGUGGCGAACGGGUGAGUAACACGUGGGUGAUCUGCCCUGCACUUCGGGAUAAGCCUGGGAAACUGGGUCUAAUACCGGAUAGGAGCCAUUUUUAGUGUGAUGGUUGGAAAGUUUUUUCGGUGUAGGAUGAGCUCGCGGCCUAUCAGCUUGUUGGUGGGGUAAUGGCCUACCAAGGCGGCGACGGGUAGCCGGCCUGAGAGGGUGGACGGCCACAUUGGGACUGAGAUACGGCCCAGACUCCUACGGGGGGCAGCAGUGGGGAAUAUUGCACAAUGGGCGCAAGCCUGAUGCAGCGACGCCGCGUGGGGGAUGACGGCCUUCGGGUUGUAAACUCCGUUCGCUAGGGACGAAGCUUUUUGUGACGGUACCUAGAGAAGAAGCACCGGCUAACUACGUG
rnacentral:rRNA from 1 species